rnacentral:rRNA from 1 species
GACGAACGCUGGCGGCGUGCCUAAUACAUGCAAGUAGAACGCUGAAGGAGGAGCUUGCUUCUCUGGAUGAGUUGCGAACGGGUGAGUAACGCGUAGGUAACCUGCCUGGUAGCGGGGGAUAACUAUUGGAAACGAUAGCUAAUACCGCAUAAGAGUAGAUGUUGCAUGACAUUUGCUUAAAAGGUGCAAUUGCAUCACUACCAGAUGGACCUGCGUUGUAUUAGCUAGUUGGUGGGGUAACGGCUUACCAAGGCGACGAUACAUAGCCGACCUGAGAGGGUGAUCGGCCACACUGGGACUGAGACACGGCCCAGACUCCUACGGGAGGCAGCAGUAGGGAAUCUUCGGCAAUGGACGGAAGUCUGACCGAGCAACGCCGCGUGAGGGAAGAAGGUUGUCGGAUCGUAAAGCUCUGUUGUAAGAGAAGAACGAGUGUGAGAGUGGAAAGUUCACACUGUGACGGUAUCUUACCAGAAAGGGACGGCUAACUACGUG